GUGAACCAGUACCGUGAGGGAAAGGCGAAAAGAACCCCGGCGAGGGGAGUGAAAAAGAACCUGAAACCGUGUACGUACAAGCAGUGGGAGCACAGGUUUACCUGUGUGACUGCGUACCUUUUGUAUAAUGGGUCAGCGACUUAUAUUCUGUAGCAAGGUUAACCGAAUAGGGGAGCCGGAGGGAAACCGAGUCUUAAUUGGGCGUUAAGUUGCAGGGUAUAGACCCGAAACCCGGUGAUCUAGCCAUGGGCAGGUUGAAGGUUGGGUAACACUAACUGGAGGACCGAACCGACUAAUGUUGAAAAAUUAGCGGAUGACCUGUGGCUGGGGGUGAAAGGCCAAUCAAACCGGGAGAUAGCUGGUUCUCCCCGAAAGCUAUUUAGGUAGCGCCUCGUGAAUUCAUCUCCGGGGGUAGAGCACUGUUUCGGCUAGGGGGCCAUCCCGGCUUACCAACCCGAUGCAAACUGCGAAUACCGGAGAAUGUUAUCACGGGAGACACACGGCGGGUGCUAACGUCCGUCGUGAAGAGGGAAACAACCCAGACCGCCAGCUAAGGUCCCAAAGUCAUGGUUAAGUGGGAAACGAUGUGGGAAGGCCCAGACAGCCAGGAUGUUGGCUUAGAAGCAGCCAUCAUUUAAAGAAAGCGUAAUAGCUCACUGGUCGAGUCGGCCUGCGCGGAAGAUGUAACGGGGCUAAACCAU
rnacentral:rRNA from 2 species